CUCGAGCACUUUAGACUUCAAUUACACUGAAUAGAAUAUAGUACAAAAUAUUCUUAAAAAAGAAUACAACACCAAAUGAAAAUAAAAGUCUAUUCCCAAAAGAAAUGCAUAAAUUCCUCACUGUCUAGAGUAUGAAUUAGUAAUGAAGUACCAACAAGCCAUGAAAUUUAUUUAAAAAAAAAAAAAAAAAAAAAACCCAACUCAUCAAAAAAGAGAAGAAAAAGGAAAAAUAUUUAAAAGCAUCUUCAACAUUUGAAAAUCGGGGGGCACAUAUGAUAAUUAGCAUCCAGUUGGAUUCAAAGAUUAGUCUUUAAAAAUUACAAGCUAAAUGAUAAUUAAUUAAAAUCGAUCCACAUACUGAGUACAAGGCAUUCUUAAAUUAUCCAAUCAAUCGGGCCCCAUCCACCAACCUAAAGUGCCUUCUUCUCACUUUUUUACAAUUUAGAAUAGUUUUGGACUAUUUGUAAGAAAUCAUCUUAUUAUUUUUCUCUGAAUUCAAUAGCAAUUAGCAGGUGAGAGUCGAGAAUUCUAAUUUUUUCAACAUAAGCAGAAACCCAAAUUUAUGUAUCUGUCAAGCAUGGGCUAAUUCAUAGAUCUUUGGGCUUUGAUUAUCAAGGAAUAGAGACUUUACAAAUAAAGCCCAAGGAUUGACAUUCCAUUGUUGUCAUUUUAUAUGUAUAUGGUUACAAUUAUCUACGCUCCCAAUGUGCCUAUGAUGUAGCACCUGGCGGACUGUUAGCUAGUGUGUAUCAUCUUACGAGAAUAGAUUUUGGUGUGGAUCAACUAGAAGAGGUAUGCAUAAAAGUAUUUGCCUCAAGGAGGAAUCAAGGAAAAGUGAGUAGUUUUUGGGGAAAAUUUUAAUAUUUUUGAAUGGACUGAUGACAAAAAUUAAAAUACGAAACAACGAACACAGGAAGUCAGGAAUGUCUAUGGAAAAGUAACAAACCUUCUCUUUUUUUCUUCUUCUUCUUUGACCACCCUUUUCUCCCUUCUUGGAAUCCUCCUAUAUCAGCAGCAGUCUUUUCCUUCUAGGAAUCUUCCGGUGGCAACAAUGGUCAGACAAAAUUGGAGAGAGAGGCUCAAUAAAUCAAUGCUUUUCUUCCUCUAUUCCUAUCUAAAAUAGUUGGGUUUCUUUUUUAGCCUUGGUUAGGGUUGCGAAUGGAUGUGGGUUGGAUUUUUCUCAUGAGGCCCCCCCAAAAUUUGAGGCCCUAGGCCUUGGCCUUAGGCCAGGGCUGGCCUUGACUUUCAGUAGCGUUUCCCAUAGAUAAUGCAAACGAUGCUAUCAAAAAUCGUAGUUAGGAUAACUCAAUCUUGAGCUAGAAAAUACUGGAGAUGAGAAGGAACAGGAUCUUCAAACUACCUGUAAAAAGCUAAGAAAGUUGUUCCCAUAGCCCUUUUGAUUCUUAAGUUAGAAAGUAGUGGGAGAAAAAUAUAAACGUGAGCAAUAAUGUAAAGCAUAUAUGAAUGAUGAAUUAGG
rnacentral:lncRNA from 1 species